GCUCCGAUGGUCUAGCGGUUAUGAUGCGGUCUUCCCAUGCAAUGAAAUGCAUUAAACAGACCGCGACCCGGGUCCGACUCCCGGUCGGAGCA
rnacentral:tRNA from 1 species